rnacentral:rRNA from 1 species
AUUGAACGCUGGCGGAAUGCUUUACACAUGCAAGUCGAGCGGCAGCGCGGGGCAACCUGGCGGCGAGCGGCGAACGGGUGAGUAAUACAUCGGAACGUGCCCAGACGUGGGGGAUAGCCCGGCGAAAGCCGGAUUAAUACCGCAUGAGAUCUGAGGAUGAAAGCAGGGGACCUUCGGGCCUUGCGCGUUUGGAGCGGCCGAUGGCAGAUUAGGUAGUUGGUGAGGUAAAGGCUUACCAAGCCUGCGAUCUGUAGCUGGUCUGAGAGGAUGAUCAGCCACACUGGGACUGAGACACGGCCCAGACUCCUACGGGAGGCAGCAGUGGGGAAUUUUGGACAAUGGGCGCAAGCCUGAUCCAGCCAUUCCGCGUGCAGGAUGAAGGCCCUCGGGUUGUAAACUGCUUUUGUACAGAACGAAAAAGGCCUAGCUAAUAUCUGGGUCUCAUGACGGUACUGAAGAAUAAGCACC